UCGCACGAUAGUCCAGAUCGGCACGGAAUCGAUCGAAAAAUCCAAUUAAUUAAACAAUCAAAAAUAUUUAAAGUGGACUGAAAAGGUCGCUUUGGGAAUGGAGGAGCUGGAGGCGAGAAUUGAGGUCGCGGAGGUGUCUCCCUUCUUCAGCUCAUCCAACAGCCUCAUUUCUAAUGGGAGAUUCUCUUCGAGGUCCAGCCAAACUGGAAAUACGAGAUGAAAUCACGGAGGACGAGUCGUUUGACCCGCACAGAUGAUCUCUGACCUGAUCGCGCGAGAAGGACACGGAUGCUGGAGCUAUGGACCCCUCCCUUGAACCUGUCCAUCUCGAUGCAAGUGUUCGGGGACUCGUUUGACAUUUGGCCAGGUUAAGGAGGUGGCAAUCGGUAGCAGAGCACCCUGACUGUCGAUG